ACCACCUCCCGGAGGGAGUGAGUGGGGAAAGAGGCAGUGAUCCGCCGCAGCUCCCAGCCGCAACUCCUAAACUCAGCGGCUCCCUGCCCGGACUAGUCCAGACAAACUUGGUUUCUCUUCGGCCCUCUCUCUAGCCCUCGCGCACUCUCAUUUCUCCUCCUUUUGGUGCUCAAGUUUCACCCAGGACGGAAGCCUCUAGAGAUGGGGCCACCUGGGCUGCGCGGGCGCUUCGCACUCUCGUUGGGGACAAGCUGAAGAUCCGAGGGUAGCAAAGUUGGUACUUCUGGCACGGCUUUUUUUUUUUUUUUUUUCUUAAACAGCCAAAUCGCGUAGGGAUUACAGAGCUGCUCGGACUUCAACGCGGAGCAACGAGGACUCGGCUGGACGAGUGAGUUCCUUUCUUAGUGCAAGCCUUUUUGUAUUUAAGUUUAAACGUAAAUGAAAUUACGUGGUGUUUGGCUAGUACAGGGAAGCGAAUGCAUCCUACAGGCUUUCCGCUCCGGUUGUGCUUGGCUCGGAAUGAAAGAUCAGUAUGCAUAGGUUUUGGAAUUCAUAAAAUACUUACAGGGCACUGUUGAAAAGAACUUGAAAAGCUAUGCUGUUUGUGCAUUAUUUCGAAUGUAACUUAUUAUAGAAAUGGUGCCCAGGGAGGAUGCAUCGGGUGCGCGUGAUCUGCAGUGGCGCAGCGCCCUCUAGUCCGGAUACCCGGCAAAGCGCGCGCUCCCUGUGGGGUUCUGAGCCCACCACGAACUUGGACCUGCCGGUUCUGGGACGUGGGCUUGAGGCAGGUCAACAAUACCCUGGGCUUCAGUUAUCACCCACUAAGGUCGGUUUUAUGUCUAAUAUACAAAUACCAGCUUGGGUGGACUGGAUGCAAAGGCGGUGCUUGGCAGAAAGCUUUUUCUGUUUUUGGGAACCCACUCCCAUCCUCCUAAUUUUCUUGAGCCUCUGGGGACUGGGUUAGGAAGGAUCGACUAUUGAGAGGACAAGUGAGGAGCUUGAACUACAUUUCUCGUUCAUAUGAAGGUAAUGUGAUAGUAGCAAAAAGGCAUCUCUUUUCGUUCUGUUGGGGCUAAAGGAUCAGUAAAAACGUGGCUGCACUGGCCUCUGAAACCUCCAUCUCUGGCUCUCGGCUGUUCCUGUGGCGACAAAGUGCAACUUCUUCCAGGCAAUUAGGUUUCUCAGGGAAUCCGGUGAAUCGGAAUUUCCAAACAGAUGUUUUAGUCCAAGUGAUCAUUGUUAUUUAUUAAUGAACGGUAAUUUUCUCCAGGAAUUCUUUUGUCCCAUUUAAAAAAUCUUGUGAUUUUAUCUUGCAGAAUGUUGUUCUAUCUUUUACUGUUCUCCACCCCCACCGCCCCCCAAACAAACUGUUGGCAUUCAUGGGUGAUUGUGUUCUGCUUGGAGUUAGAAUUCAGCAAGGGGCACAAAAGAGUUGAGCUUAGCGAUCAGGUCACCUUUUUUCCACGUUUUCCAUGUAUGAAAUUGACCUGUAACUCUAGGAGCCCUUUGCGCAGUUAUGGCUGUGGCUGGGUGUUUGGAUGAUGAUGAUGUUUGUUGCACGGGUGAAUUUGUGCGUAUUCUAAAUAACUGGCAGGGAAUAUGCCACAUUCUCAUAGUGCUACGAAUCAGCACACUCAGUCUGCAGGCAUUACUUUUCCUUCCUAACCAUAACCUGCCCACACUUUUUUUUUUCCACUCACCUUCUUUGAGAUGGUGUAAGAGGAGACUGCAUUAACUUUGAACUAAGGCAAUUCCCUCUUUAACCCUAGAUUCCCUCGCCCUCGUGGUUCCCCCUGCAGCCCCCCUCCACCGGUUCCAGGGAAAUCAUAUCUCUUUGUCCUCACAGUGUUAACAUAUUUGAGCUCCACAAACUUUCUGAGGUCAUGUCCGCCCUCUUCUGAGGGCUGUUUCCCAACGGCCGGGAGCACUCCUGGCAGCGCUGAGCCGGCGUCUGGAGCUUUGCCUGAGCUGAGGCUGGGCUCACAGCCCCGGGAUGCCCGGACCUCGCUCUUGGGCUUGGGGGGCGGGGGGAGUUCCCCGAGUGGGACGUCUGGACACCCAGGGUUUCCCCUUCUCCGCGAGGAACUUGUAGAUUCUCAUUAGACUGAGUUCACAGUUUGCAGGCUGUACUUACCGGGUGGGAAAGCGCACGAGGCGGCACCGCUGUCCUUUGUCCCGCAGACCUGGGAGCCGGGGGUGUCUGCCUGGGAAGGCCGGCGUUGAGGUUCGUUACCUGGGCGGGGGAGGUUCUGGGGUCCAACUGGCUCUGUGAAAAGAGGUCGCGGAGAAAGCUUUUUCAUUUGCCCGGGAUCUUAGCGUAGAUUGAAGAAGUCGAUUCCGAUCUAACUGCAUUCUUUUUGAGAUCUUUUGGAAGAUUUUAUUCCACUGAGCUAAUGCAGACCUACAACCAAGGCAUUCAAAUGCAGAUGUAGCAAUUCCCUUAAGGUUCCCGAGAAUCAAAAGAGAGAGGCGUGGGAAGCGCUUUUUUUUUUUUUUAAAUUGUUAAGCUAAUGUUUCCCUUCCUAGCAGAGAAUAUUCUAUAUUAAUUCCCUCCACAAAUCUGUGUGUUGGCCAUAACUCCGCACUAGAGCGAGGCCCAGACUGUUCCUCGGGGUGUCGCUAGAUUAUCCUGCGCACUCUAGUCUCUUCGCUUAGAGUUGGCUGCUGUAGCUGCAGGGAGAUCCCUGACCUUAGGCGGGGGAGCCCUAGCCCCAGUCCCCGGGUCUGGGAGUCCGGCUGCCGGAGAAAGUCAGGUCGAGUUUCCCCGCGGAAGAAACGAGAGCCGGCGCUUGCGGGCGUGGCCGCGGGCGGAGGGAUAUAUCCCCGCGCCGUGCUUGUAAGACGCGGGGGCCCAACCCCGCGGCUUUGGAGCAGGCUGCAGGACGCAGCCUUGGAGCGAGGCGUGCGGGGAGCGAAGGUGGGCCGCCAAGACCAUGCGGUCCUGCGGGACCAACGAAGUCCCCGGCAGGCCGGGACCCCCCUCGGGGGCGCGCUGAGGCGAGAGUGCGCGCCCUGGAGAGUGCCGCCUUCGCUUCAGGCCAACUUUGCUGUAAGUUUGAGGGAAACCAAGCUGGGGCUUGAGUGCCGUGGGCGAGGGUUGAGCGGCGCGCUCCGUGCCAAUACCUGGCCGAGCAGGAGCCCUCUGUGCCUGGGGCACGGGCAACUUGCUGCGGCGCGGUGGCGGGCUUUUUACUCCGUGAGACCUUGCUUCUACCCAGCCCUGGACAGUGCACCGCGGGCAGUCUGGGAACUGGGAUGGAAAGAAAGUGCCCCACCAGACUGCAGGGGUGCGGAGGCGCUGGCCCACUCGGCAAGUUCAGGGCUGGCCCUGGAUUCCAGCAGGUUUGGGGAGGAGGCGGAGGGGCGGGAGCGGAUAAUUCGCAUCGUGACUGGAAUGGUAAUUACUCACCCCCAGAGCUGCAGCGCAGAGCGGGCAGCGGCCGGGGCUGCACCAGGUUUGGCCCCGGAGCCAUUGCUGGAAAGCAGAGCUGCUGCUGCAGCGCGAGAACUUCCGCCUCGGAAAGGAGCUCGGAAACUUCACACGCGCGCUCUGCUUACUUCGGGUAACACUGGAGUCUGCUAAACACUCCACUGAUCUGGCUCUGCGCUUAAUUCUUCUGAUUUGUUAGAUAUUCACAGCGUAGGUGUGGUGUAAAGAGAAUCCAACUGCUAAGGGAUAGGAUCUUUGCGAUGGAGUCAUAAGUUUUCUUAGGUGUUUUGUGCCCUGAAGGAGUGCUGCCUUGAGGUUUGAUUUGUAACUGGUUGAAUGUUCUUAGGUGCGGUUGGUAAAUCUUUGGGCUAAACAUUUGCAACUGGGCUAUUAGUUUAUUUCUGUCUCUUUUUUGGAAGAGAAACUUGUAAGGUCUUUAAAAAAGAAAGAGAUUCUGGUUCUUUCAGUGCUUUUUCUUACUCCAAGUGCUUUCCUCUAGGAAGUUAACUUUCCGUUGUCUCUGUAAGAUUUUUUUUUUUGUUCCCACUGAUGUGAAUUGUGGCGCUUUGAAAACAAGGACCAAUUGUAUGCAUUAGGAGAGUAAACUCAUAAAUAUUUUCUAUGCAGUUAAAGUUUUUUUUUUUUAAUGUGUCUGAAGUAUGGUUUUAUUAAGUGGCUUUUGUUAAGCAACUCCCUGGUGCCUAGUAGAGAAGUUUUGUUGUUGUUUUUUUUUUUAAUUGGAUAUUUACAGUUACUAUUAAAAUCGCAAAAGGUUUAAACGACAAAUGAUCUUCAGUUAUUUUUAUAUCUUUUACAAAAGCAGAUUCUUAAGGCUUCAUAUACAGAAAUAGGUUUCAGUGGUUUAAGAAGAUAUCCAUCUGCACGUGUUAAAAGUAGGUAAUGGUGAUGUUUAUCCUUAUUACUCUUAGAGUUGUGGUGCUCCAACACAUCCAGUUACUGCAGUUACUUAGAAAAUGUGUUUCUCCAGGUCUGUAGGUUAAUUAUGAUGUUUGGCUUUGUGCUUUAGAAGGACGACUCUGGUUCCACAAGUAGAAUUAUUAUCCCCCUUUCUUUGCUAUGUAUUUAAGCUUUAUAAUGAGUGUAAAAGUAUUUAAAACAUUACAUAACUUUUAAAAGUAAUUAAUAUAACCCUAAGUUAUGUCAAACAUGGCACUUAACGCAUUCAUUGUAAGGUUUGACUUAAAUAACAUUUGUGUAUUCAUUCCUGGAAUAAUGAAUAUCUUAAAUGAGCCAAAUUCUUUGUCACUCUGAAAGGAAGUGAGAUUGUUGGAAAACGUAGAAAAUCUCUAAGGCCAUCUGUAUAUGUAUUCAUAUGUAUCUUUUAAUUAGUUACUAGAAGUACUCCUAGUGGGGUCCCAUCAUGUUAAUAGAUCAUUUAAAUCCAUGUUAUUGACAGGCGCCAAAAGAAGAAUCUAAAAAUUAUGUGCAGGAGUUGCUCUUGUGCUCAGCGGUUAACCGGACUAGUAUCCAUGAGGAUGCAGUUUCCAUUCCUGGCCUCACUCAGUGGGUUAAGGAUCUUGUGUUGCCCUGAGCUGUGGUGUAGAUGGCAGCUCUAGCUCCGAGUCCACCCCUAGCCUGGGAAUCUCCAUAGGCCUCAGGUGUGGACCCCCAAAAGACAGAAAAUGAGAUAAAAUAAAAUAAAAAUUAUGUGCAAAGUAAUGCUGUUUUUAUUCCCCGGAUCCUGUGCCUUCCUAGUGUAGGUCUUCAGGCUUAGUUAGCUCUUGAGACAUCUCUGAAGCAGUCAUUUCUUUGAAUGUUAGAAGUGAAAGUGUUAUUACAGAUUAUUUUAACUCCCUUGUCAAGUCUACCAGCACCUGUUUCCCAACCAAGUUUGGCUGGUUUUACAUAGAAUCAGUAAACCUAAGCAAAUGAGUGCAUUCUUGUUGCAUUAAAUGUUGUCUCCCUGGCCUAAUUUGUGGCCUAAAGGACCUGCUUUGAUAGCAGGAAGCCAUAAGGCUAGGUGUCUGUUUAAUCUUUAUGAGUAGGAAAUUGCUGUAGGUAAGCUUUCUUUUGACCAAAUUAUAUAGAUGAUGAAGCCAAACUGUGUCUUUUUGUCUCACUUAAUUGUUCAAUUUGCAAGUGUUUAUCCUGAGGCACUGGUAAGGAGUUUUUGAAAUGAGUGAUGCAGGUAAUAGCUAAGAUCGCAAAGUUGUCUUUUUUUCUUGGCUCCUGACUGAGAGGAGCUCUUUAUUUCAAAAAUGUAUUCAAGCACAUGACGACUGUGUAUUUCACAUUUUUAAGUUGUUUUACAAAAAAUCUUUAAGUCCCAGAUUUAAAUAUUUUUCUAGGGGGUUCCCCUUGUGGUACAGCAGAAAAGAAUCUGACUAGUAUCACGGGUUUGAUCCCUGGCCUCGCUCAGUGGGUCAGGGAUCUGGCAUUGCUAUGAGCUGUGGUGUAGGUCACAGACGCAGCUUCGAUCCCGAGUUGCUGGGGCUGUGGUGUAGGCCGGCAGCUGUACCUCUGAUUCAACCCCUAGCCUGAAAGGGUCCAUAUGCUGUAGGUAUGGCCAUAAAAAGCAGCAAAUAAAUAAAUAAAUAUUUUGCCGAAAUUCUUGCUUUAUUCCAAAGGUUUAUUUUAUAUGUGGAGCUAAAUUUAUAAUUGUCUCUACAGGCCGUGAAGGAAAAUCAGCCAUUCUGAAGUUAUCUUGCUAGAAUAGUCAAGCUAAGUGCUUAUAACAAUAAGCUCUGCAGUAGGGACACUGGCCUGGCAUCACCUGUAGCCACAUUGAAAGCAUUUUGAGGUGGGUGGUGACAUCUUUCAUAGCUGCUGGAAAUUAGAGCCAUCUCCAGGGCACCCAGUGCAGUGUUGCCACUGGCCUAGUUGUUGCACCUGGAUUUUCUGUUAGAUUUGCAAGGAUGGAUGGAUGUUCCCGUGUUACCUCUCCUUACCUCCCCGACCCUACUUCAGUCUUGCCUUCUAGUCUUAAUCUGCAUCCAUCUGUCCCCACAUGAACCCAACAACUGGAUCUCCUCUGUGCCAAACACGGGGCCAGACCCAGUAUAGACAGUUGAACAAAGCAUGUUUCCUUAUAGUCCAGUAGCGGAGAAGGACAUAUAAACAGUUGUAUCCCUUGUGAUGGGAGAGAUCCAUCAGGGUCUGGGUGGUUCAUCGUUGCACCUCCACAAGCUGGGGAUCUGGGGUGGGUGGGUAUUAGGAUUGGGUGGGGUCUGAGGGAAGAGUGAAUCAGGAGGGCACGAUUCAGGGAGAGCAAAUACAUGUAAAGCAAGUUGUACAAAUCUUAGUUGUGACUUGAUUUGUGGUUUGAUGAAUGGCAAGAAAAGAGACCUAAGCAUCCCAUGUUAUCUUUCGGGAGAGAGAUGGUUGGUUGGUUUAUCAUCAGUGUUUCGUUAAUUCUGUUUUCACAUGACUUAUGAGUUGCCUUUUUCCUUGUUAUAGAACAUGGAAAAUCUAUGACCUGGGCUUACAUUGGCUUAUAAAGACAGAGAAGGUAACUUGUAUGGGGGAUAAGAAGAG
rnacentral:lncRNA from 1 species